rnacentral:rRNA from 1 species
AACGAACGCUGGCGGCAUGCCUAACACAUGCAAGUCGAACGAGACCUUCGGGUCUAGUGGCGCACGGGGGCGUAACGCGUGGGAACCUGCCCUUAGGUUCGGAAUAACUCCCCGAAAGGGGUGCUAAUACCGGGUAAUGUCUUCGGACCAAAGCUUUAUCGCCUUUGGAUGGGCCUGCGUUGGAUUAGCUAGUUGGUAGGGUAAAAGCCUACCAAGGCGACGAUCCAUAGCUGUUCUGAGAGGAUGUUCAGCCACACUGGGACUGAGACACGGCCCGGACUCUGGCGGGAGGCCGCAGCGGCGAAUCUUUGAUACUGGGCCUGAGCCGGAUCCACCACUGUCCCGUCAGGCAUUAAGGCCUUAGUGCUGUACACCUCUUCUUCCCGUGAUGUUCUGGCCCUUACCGCGACAAUACGCACCGGCCAGCUCCGU